CCUACGGUGUGCAGCAGUGAGGCAUAUUGGUCAAUGGGCGGGAGCCUGAACCAGCCAAGUCGCGUGAGGGAAGACGGUCCUAUGGAUUGUAAACCUCUUUAGGCGGGGAGCAAUGCCGGGCACGUGUGCCCGGAGGGAGAGUACCCGCAGAAUAAGCAUCGGCUAACUCCGUGCCAGCAGCCGCGGUAAUACGGAGGAUGCGAGCGUUAUCCGGAUUUAUUGGGCGUAAAGGGUGCGUAGGCGGCCUGCUAAGUCUGGAGUGAAAGGUACCGGCUCAACCGGUACAGGCUCUGGAAACUGGCGGGCUAGAGAGCAGGAGAGGGCGGUGGAACUCCAUGUGUAGCGGGAAAAUGCGUAGAUAUAUGGAAGAACACCAGUGGCGAAGGCGGCCGCCUGGCCUGUUACUGACGCUGAGGCACGAAAGCGUGGGGAGCAAAUAGGAUUAGAUACCCCUGUAGUC
rnacentral:rRNA from 1 species